CCUACGGGAGGCUGCAGUAGGGAAUCUUUCACAAUGGGGGAAACCCUGAUGCAGCGACGCCGCGUGCAGGAAGAAGUCUUUCGGUAUGUAAACUUCUAUCAGAAGGGAAGAAAAUGACGGUACCUGACUAAGAAGCAUCGGCUAACUACGUGCCAGCAGCCGCGGUAAUACGUAGGGGGCAAGCGUUAUCCGGAUUUACUGGGUGUAAAGGGCGCGUAGGCGGUUUAGCAAGUCAGAAGUGAAAGCCCGGGGCUCAACUCCGGGACUGCUUUUGAAACUGUUGAACUAGAGUGCAGGAGAGGUAAGUGGAAUUCCUAGUGUAGCGGUGAAAUGCGUAGAUAUUAGGAGGAACACCAGUGGCGAAGGCGGCUUACUGGACUGUAAAUGACGCUGAGGCUCGAAAGCGUGGGGAGCAAACAGGAUUAGAUACCCCGGUAGUC
rnacentral:rRNA from 1 species